rnacentral:rRNA from 1 species
GACGAACGCUGGCGGCGUGCUUAACACAUGCAAGUCGAACGAUGAAGAAAAGAAUUGAAGCUUCGGCAGAAAUUCAUUUCGGAUUAGUGGCAGACGGGUGAGUAACGCGUGAGCAACCUACCUCUUACAAAGGGAUAGCCUCGGGAAACCGGGAUUAAUACCAUAUAACAUUGCGACGAAGCAUUUCGAUGCAAUCAAAGCUACGGCGGUAAGAGAUGGGCUCGCGUCCCAUUAACCAGAUGGUGAGGUAACGGCUCACCAUAGUAACGAUGGGUAACCGGCCUGAGAGGGUGAACGGUCACGCUGGAACUGAGACACGGUCCAGACUCCUACGGGAGGCAGCAGUGGGGAAUAUUGCACAAUGGAGGGAACUCUGAUGCAGCGACGCCGCGUGAGUGAUGAAGGAAUUCGUUUCGUAAAACUCUGUUCUAUGGGAAGAAAAGGACUGUACCAUAGGAGAAAGCUCCGGCUAAAUACGUG